rnacentral:rRNA from 1 species
GACGAACGCUGGCGGCGUGCUUAACACAUGCAAGUCGAACGGAAAGGCCCUGCUUUUGUGGGGUGCUCGAGUGGCGAACGGGUGAGUAACACGUGAGUAACCUGCCCUUGACUUUGGGAUAACUUCAGGAAACUGGGGCUAAUACCGGAUAGGAGCUCCUGCUGCAUGGUGGGGGUUGGAAAGUUUCGGCGGUUGGGGAUGGACUCGCGGCUUAUCAGCUUGUUGGUGGGGUAGUGGCUUACCAAGGCUUUGACGGGUAGCCGGCCUGAGAGGGUGACCGGCCACAUUGGGACUGAGGUACGGCACAGACUCCUACGGGAGGCAGCAGUGGGGAAUAUUGCACAAUGGGCGGAAGCCUGAUGCAGCAACGCCGCGUGCGGGAUGACGGCCUUCGGGUUGUAAACCGCUUUCGCCUGUGACGAAGCGUGAGUGACGGUAAUGGGUAAAGAAGCACCGGCUAACUACGUG